rfam:Myotis davidii contig227755, whole genome shotgun sequence.
GACAGUUCUGGGUGACGCACCCUGGAAUUGGGCUCCCUUCUCUCUGUUUCUGGGUGCAUCACCCGAGAACCGCA